rnacentral:lncRNA from 1 species
AUUUAUCAAAGAUUGCUUUCAUCAAACGUUUAAUCUUACUCACAUCCUUCCUUAUCUGAGCCUGAUCCGCAGACAAUUUCUGAAGCUCUUCAGAUAAUCGCUGUUGCUCACGAUACACAGAUGAAACCGAGACAUCCUCUUCAGAAAUAUCCAUAGAAGGACGUGAAGAAGCAGGAGCAGCAGGAGGUGGAGCAGCAAGAGGUGAAGCAGUUCGCUGAGACGGAGUUCUAAGCUGCACAGAGGA